UACGUAGGGGGCUAGCGUUGUCCGGAUUUAUUGGGCGUAAAGAGCGUGUAGGCGGCCAGGUAGGUCUGCUGUGAAAACUCGAGGCUCAACCUCGAGAUGUCGGCGGAAACCGUCUGGCUAGAGUCCGGAAGAGGAGAGUGGAAUUCCCGGUGUAGCGGUGAAAUGCGCAGAUAUCGGGAAGAACACCCGUGGCGAAGGCGGCUCUCUGGGACGGUACUGACGCUGAGACGCGAAAGCGUGGGGAGCGAACAGG
rnacentral:rRNA from 1 species